AUCCGGCUGACGAGUUCCAAAUAGGACGAAACGCGCGUCCUGGAU
rfam:Schistosoma rodhaini strain Burundi genome assembly, scaffold: SROB_scaffold0002468